rnacentral:lncRNA from 1 species
GUUUGACUUGGUGAUCUUGUGUUUAUUAAUAUUUCUAGCAUGAUAUGCUGGGUUCUUUGCAUUUUGCACUUUACUAUAUCUACUUUCUAGCCAAACUUAUUUCUUCAAAUUGCAAUUGUAGCAUGAGAUUGUCAUAGGCAAAAACUCAGAAUUCUCUGCAAGGAGAUGAUAACUUUUGUUGGUUUUGUAAAGUGGCUGAUUCCUUUCUGCCUUCUAUGAUAAAAUAUUGUCUUUAACAGACAAGGAGUUUUUGUGUGUGUGAUUGUGUAAAUUACUGCUUGUUUGUUCAAUGGGGCAAUGGUACAUUUCAAUGUAUUAUUCUCCUUGCCUCGACAGUCGCCAGAUAAAGAACUUAGUUUGCUGAGCAAGGGCUUUGUGCUGUAAUUGGAUGAUCAGACUCAGAAAGGAGUAACUCUGACAGUGUUAAAUCAUAAAGAAGAAAAGUCAGAAAUGAAUACUGACAU